UACGUAGGGCGCAAGCGUUAUCCGGAAUUACUGGGCGUAAAGAGCUCGUAGGCGGUUUGUCGCGUCUGCCGUGAAAGUCCGGGGCUCAACUCCGGAUCUGCGGUGGGUACGGGCAGACUAGAGUGAUGUAGGGGAGACUGGAAUUCCUGGUGUAGCGGUGAAAUGCGCAGAUAUCAGGAGGAACACCGAUGGCGAAAGCAGGUCUCUGGGCAUUAACUGACGCUGAGGAGCGAAAGCAUGGGGAGCGAACAGG
rnacentral:rRNA from 1 species